rnacentral:lncRNA from 1 species
AGUUUUUAAGUGCUUUGUCUUCUUCUUUCUUGGACAAAAAUUGGUUUAGACGGAAUUGAGAUCCAUUUUAGAUUUUUUUUUUUUUAAGAGAUAGAUAGCAUGCUAUUCUUUUCGUUUAUUUCAUAGCUGAAAAUGUGAAUCAAUUAGUAUUCGAACUUGAGAUCUCGGAUACCAACUAUCAGACUCUGAUUUUAAAACUAUUGAAUAGAUAUAAAGUUUAUUUUAUCAUUACUGAA